rnacentral:tRNA from 1 species
GCCCAGGUGGCGGAAUUGGUAGACGCGCAGGUCUCAAAAAUCUGUUCAUGCAAGUGAGUGCCGGUUCGAUCCCGGCCCUGGGCACCA